rnacentral:rRNA from 1 species
AUUGAACGCUGGCGGCAGGCCUAACACAUGCAAGUCGAACGGUAGCACAGAGAGCUUGCUCUCGGGUGACGAGUGGCGGACGGGUGAGUAAUGUCUAGGAAACUGCCUGAUGGAGGGGGAUAACUACUGGAAACGGUAGCUAAUACCGCAUAACGUCGCAAGACCAAAGAGGGGGGACCUUCGGGCCGUCCUUGUCCAUCAGAUGUACCCACGAUGGGAUUAGCUAG